UACAGAGGUCCCAAGCGUUGUUCGGAUUCACUGGGCGUAAAGGGUGCGUAGGUGGUGAGGUAAGUCGGAUGUGAAAUCUCCGAGCUCAACUCGGAAAUUGCAUUGGAAACUACCUUGCUAGAGGGUUGGAGGGGGGACUGGAAUACUUGGUGUAGCAGUGAAAUGCGUAGAUAUCAAGUGGAACACCAGUGGCGAAGGCGAGUCCCUGGACAACUCCUGACACUGAGGCACGAAAGCGUGGGGAGCAAACAGG
rnacentral:rRNA from 1 species